UGGGGAAUAUUGGACAAUGGGCGAAAGCCUGAUCCAGCCAUGCCGCGUGUGUGAAGAAGGUCUUCGGAUUGUAAAGCACUUUAAGUUGGGAGGAAGGGCAUUAACCUAAUACGUUAGUGUUUUGACGUUACCGACAGAAUAAGCACCGGCUAACUCUGUGCCAGCAGCCGCGGUAAUACAGAGGGUGCAAGCGUUAAUCGGAAUUACUGGGCGUAAAGCGCGCGUAGGUGGUUUGUUAAGUUGGAUGUGAAAGCCCCGGGCUCAACCUGGGAACUGCAUCCAAAACUGGCAAGCUAGAGUACGGUAGAUGGUGGUGGAAUUUCCUGUGUAGCGGUGAAAUGCGUAGAUAUAGGAAGGAACACCAGUGGCGAAGGCGACCACCUGGACUGAUACUGACACUGAGGUGCGAAAGCGUGGGGAGCAAACA
rnacentral:rRNA from 1 species